ensembl:lncRNA
CCGGGCGGGUUCGGGGUCCCCAGGGCCUCAUCUCCGACCGGCGGAACGGGGCCGGAGCGCUGAGGCUCGCAGGCAUCGUGGUGCUCAGGCUGCUCUUUGAGACACCUGCAGCAAGGCUGUUUCUUCAGGGGAUGUUAAGUCUGAGUAGCAGCCCAAAGAGUUCUCAUGUCCAACUUGAGCUGGUUAUCUUCCUCUUAAAACUGGAGCAUACCAUCACAAAGCACCUUUUAGCAUCAUCCCUUGAAGAAGAGAAUUAAGGCUGGUACAAUGUGCCUGCAUUAAGUAUUUUAGGGUUGUGUGGAGCUUGCUUCAAACUUCAGUGUCCAUCCUCGUAAUCUCAAUCACCAAGCCAACCAUCAGGACAAGAAGAAAAGCAAAACAAGAAAGUAAAAAGGAAUUGAU